CCUCAGUAACGGCGAGUGAAGUGGGAUGUAGCCCAGCACCGAAUCCGCUCGGCCUCGCGCCUUGUGGACCUGUGGUGUUUGGGGCCCCAGCUUUCGUCUAGUGUCCACGCUCCUCAGUCGCAUUGAAGGGCUGUAGCUCCAUAGCGGGUGUCAGACCCUUGUGUCGAGCUGGAUCGGGCGAAGGUUCGAGGGGCCUCUCGAGUCGGGUUGUUUGAGAUUGCAGCCCAAAGACGGUGGUAUGCUCCAUCGAAGGCUAAACAUUGCCACGAGUCCGAUAGCGAACAAGUACCGUGAGGGAACGUUGAAAAGAACUUCGAAGAGAGAGUUCAAUAGUACGUGAAACCGCCUAGAGGGAAACGAGUGGCUCCGCAUUGUCGGCCUGCGGCGUUCAUGUCGAUGUGCAACGUGUGUCCACCCGUGGUUGUCGAUCGGUCUGUGGUCUUCGGAUUCGGACCUCGUCAUUGACCGCACGGUGCGACGCUGGCACUCGAAUGCAUUCGCUGCGAGGCAGGGCGUCACGAUCGCUUUCUGGUGUGCAAACGACCAGCAUGCCGGUGCGUGCGAACGACGUCUUCGCGACUGUUCGACUCGCGCGGCGGCUGUCCAGCCUGCCGGAGAGCGUGUAACGAUCACCGCGUUUGCACGGGCAAGACGGUUCCUGUAGUCGAAGGACGAGUCGCUUCUACCCUCGCGGUAGUCGCUGGCAGUCCACGCGGCAGAGGGGCUGGCCCUGCGUGGUUUUGGAUCGGUGGCGAUUGAGUCGGCCUG
rnacentral:rRNA from 1 species